AUGCCGACAAGAAAAAAAGGACCUGCAAGAAAUGCAACCGUUGAGCAUGUUAAUACGAAAACUAGUAGACAACCUGGAAGAUCCACUCAGUCGGCAGCUCCUGAUAAGAAAGUCAAUGAUCUAAUUACUUCUUCCUCCAAAAAGCAGAAACCUGCCGAAGACCCUCUGAAGAAGAACCAAGUUCUCAGCGGUGGAAGAAAAUUAACAUCUCUAUGUGAUUCUGAUACUGAAAAUGGAGUUGCUGAUGUGCCAAGUAGUAGUAUGCUUGAUCACAAGCUGUCUCAUGGAAAUGAUGACGAAUCAUGUGAGAACAUAUUUUCUCAACCAUUCCACCAUCAUAAUGAAGACGGCAGUGAUGGCUUGAGCAAAGUUCCUGUGCAAUCAACAUGUGGUAAUACAAAGCGCGCAGACGAUGAGUACAGUGAAUUGGGUAGUCUUUCUCCCGAAGUGUCUGCUAUAUAUCUUGCAAUGCAGCACUCUAAGCUGGAGUGUAUUGAUGAACAAAGUCAAGAUUCUAUCUCAACAGAUGGUGGGUGCGCUGAUCCUGAUGAGGCUGAGGAGCUUGAUGAGUUUGACCCUUAUACCUUCAUAAAGGAUUUGCCUGAGUUAUCUAUGGUUGUACCCAAGUUUCGACCCGUUCUUCUUCCAAAGCAGACUCGGAGCUGCCCUAGAACCACCCUUGUCCUUGAUCUGGAUGAGACACUGGUGCAUUCUACUCUUGAGCCGUGUGAAGAUUCUGAUUUCACUUUCCCAGUUCAUUUUAAUCUCAGAGAUCACACAAUCUAUGUACGGUGCCGUCCAUAUCUGAAAGAUUUCCUGGAGAGAGUAGCCAGCAUGUUUGAGAUAAUCAUCUUCACGGCCAGUCAAAGUAUCUAUGCAGAACAACUACUUAAUGUUCUUGAUCCCAAAAGAAGGUUGUUCCGUCAUCGAGUUUAUCGUGAGUCUUGUGUCUAUGUGGAGGGCAACUACUUAAAGGAUCUAUCUGUUCUUGGGCGUGACUUGUCUCGUGUUGUCAUAGUUGACAAUUCUCCGCAGGCCUUUGGGUUCCAACUAGACAACGGCAUACCGAUUGAGAGCUGGUUCGACGACCCAAACGACAAGGAGCUCCUAGCACUGCUGCCAUUCUUGGAAAGCCUGGUUGGGGUGGAAGAUGUCCGGCCAUUCAUCGCAACCAAGUUCAACCUCCGCCAGAAGGUUGCCAGCGCGACCUCCCUUGCGAUGCACUUCUUUCCCAACGCGGAGCGUGCCAACUGA
rnacentral:rRNA from 1 species